rnacentral:rRNA from 1 species
GAUGAACGCUGGCGGCGUGCCUAAUACAUGCAAGUCGAGCGAACAGACGAGGAGCUUGCUCCUCUGACGUUAGCGGCGGACGGGUGAGUAACACGUGGAUAACCUACCUAUAAGACUGGGAUAACUUCGGGAAACCGGAGCUAAUACCGGAUAAUAUAUUGAACCGCAUGGUUCAAUAGUGAAAGACGGUUUUGCUGUCACUUAUAGAUGGAUCCGCGCCGCAUUAGCUAGUUGGUAAGGUAACGGCUUACCAAGGCAACGAUGCGUAGCCGACCUGAGAGGGUGAUCGGCCACACUGGAACUGAGACACGGUCCAGACUCCUACGGGAGGCAGCAGUAGGGAAUCUUCCGCAAUGGGCGAAAGCUUGACGGAGCAACGCCGCGUGAGUGAUGAAGGUCUUCGGAUCGAAAAACUCUGUUAUUAGGGAAGAACAAAUGUGUAAGUAACUACGCACGUCUUGACGGUACCUAAUCAGAAAGCCACGGCUAACUACGUG